AUGUUCAGAUACCGGUCCUCUCACUGACUGGGUAUCCCCAGCCUUGUUUCCUGCCCUUCAGAGAGGACUGGUCCCUCAGCAAAAUGAAAGGCCAUAGAGUGAGUGAAACUGGAAGAGAAAGCUGAACACGCAUGGGUAUUCUAUUGCUCACUGUUGAAGAAAUAUAAUAUAUCACCCUGGAUAUAAAGUGACCACUUCUCAAGCCACUGCUACUGGGACUUCCCUGCCAUGGUGGACUCUAAACUGGAGCCCCAGGCCAAAAGGGACCCUCUUCCUUUAAGUGAGUUUUAUUGGAGUACUUUGUCACAGCAAAACAAAACAAAACUAAGACACAUGGUGUGGUAGGUGAGUAAUUAAGACAUGCUGAAAAAGAUUAUUUUCAAGAGUCCAAAUUCUACUCAUAUCUUCUGGGCCCGGCUCUCAGUGGUACCUAUCUUCAAACUUGGCCUUGAAAAAUUCUCUGAGGAGUCUGUGUACCACAGUUUCCAGCUGUUCCGCCAAAGUGACAUGGAAUGGAGAGCAGAGAACAGGAUCCCCCUCUAUCCAAGAGCAGUAAGCGAGGACAGAAUUCUGGCUUCUCUGACAUGGGAGUGGGGAAUGACUGCUCAGGCAAGAACCAGGCUUAGCCCUCCACAACUCCCAGGAAUUGUUGUCCCUUUCCCUGGCUUGCCACCAGGAUACAUUCAUGUGCUGCUGUUUUCUGCGUAUCAUCUUUUCCUCCCAAUAUUCAGCUCAUGCAUCCUGUAUCAGAAAGGAUGUCAGUGCCUGGGCUGUUUGAAUUUCUGCUAGAGGAGGAGGAGGGGCGUGGGCAAUGCUCAGGGGAAGAACCAGGGCUGGGACAAAUGUCUGCUUGAACUUGAGAAAAGGAACAGAGAAAGGGCAUUCUUCUAUCAUAGCAACACACCAGCAUCCCUGUCUGGAUAAAACUCAAUCUACCCCCUCAAUGAGAAAGUGGACAAUUCAAGAAUGUGCCUCUUAUUUCUUUCUAUCCACAAGUCCUGAAUGGGUAGAAAACCCAUAGGGAGGGAAUCUCUGAAAGUAUAGAUCCUGAAGUAGGUCUGUCAGACUCACCGAAGAAACGACAAGAUAUAUAGGUAAGCUUGCAUCUCAGAUAGACAAUGAAUAAUUCUUUUCUGCAUAAACAUACCCCACAAAACAUUCUAACAAGAACAACAACAACAACAACAAAACCCAACAUAUAUUUAUCUGAAAUUCAAAGGUGUCUUGAAUUUCUGUGUAGCAAAUUGGUUUUCUUGUAAACUACAUUUAAAUCCCAGGUCUUCAGAGUU
rnacentral:lncRNA from 1 species